GACGAACGCUGGCGGCGUGCUUAACACAUGCAAGUCGAACGGAAAGGCCCUGCUUUUGUGGGGUGCUCGAGUGGCGAACGGGUAAGUAACACGUGAGUAACCUGCCCUUGACUGUGGGAGAACUUAAGGAAAGUGGGGCUAAUAGGGGAUAGGAGCUCCUGCUGCAUGGUGGGGGUGGGAAAGUUUCGGCUGUUGGGGGUGGAAUCGCGGCUUAUGAGAUUGUUGGUGGGGUAGUGGCUGACCAAGGUCUUGAAGGGUAGCCGGGCUGAGCGGGUGACCGGCCACAUUGGGCCUGAGCUACGGCCCAGACUCCUACGGGAGGCAGCAGUGCGGAAUGGUGUACAAUGCGCGGAAGGCUGAUGUAGUCCCGCAGCGUGGCGGAUGACGGCCUUCGCGUUGUGUUGCGAUUCUCUCUGUGCCGAAGCGUUAGUGACGGUAAUGGGUGAAUAAGCACCGGCUAACUCCGUG
rnacentral:rRNA from 1 species